GCCGUAUUCCCAUAAUGGUAUUGGAGAUGGUUGCUAACCAUUCGGUCGGAAACGACUUGGAGGUUCGAAUCCUUCAUACGGCG
rnacentral:tRNA from 2 species